UUUCCGUAGGUGAACCUGCGGAAGGAUCAUUACAGAGUUCAUGCCCUCACGGGUAGAUCUCCCACCCUUGAAUAUUUAUACCUUAGUUGCUUUGGCAGGCCGUGGAAACACCAUGGGCUCCGGCUUAUGCGUGCCUGCCAGAGAAAACAAACUCUGUUUUUAGUGAUGUCUGAGUACUAUAUAAUAGUUAAAACUUUCAACAACGGAUCUCUUGGUUCUG
rnacentral:misc_RNA from 1 species